AAUGAGUGGGUUAGACCAAGCACACUGAACAGCCCACAUCAUGAGCAGACUGGUUUUGGUCUUCCUAAUGCUCCUGCACUUGUCAGCAGUCAUGACUGAAAGACAGCAUUAUCCAGCGAGAAUUAAUUGCAGAGGAUAUUUUCAAGGCAAAUGUAAACCAGAGUGCAAACCCACAGAAGAAGAUCUUGGAAGUCAAGAUUGCAAAGAAGGGUAUCAUUGCUGUGCUCCUCCCAAAGAGAAAUCAGUGAAUCCUGCAAGAUGAAAAUGCUUGGAGUUCACACCCUCACCCUGCUAUUAAUGGCAUUGUUGUGUUUAGACUUUAUAAAAUAAAAAAAAGAAAAAUAACAUAAAUGGUCAGUUUUGAA